rnacentral:rRNA from 1 species
CCUACGGGGGACAGUAGUGAGGAAUAUUGGUCAAUGGACGAGAGUCUGAACCAGCCAAGUAGCGUGAAGGAUGACUGCCCUAUGGGUUGUAAACUUCUUUUAUAUGGGAAUAAAAUGUUCCACGUGUGGGAUUUUGUAUGUACCAUAUGAAUAAGGAUCGGCUAACUCCGUGCCAGCAGCCGCGGUAAUACGGAGGAUCCGAGCGUUAUCCGGAUUUAUUGGGUUUAAAGGGAGCGUAGGUGGAUUGUUAAGUCAGUUGUGAAAGUUUGCGGCUCAACCGUAAAAUUGCAGUUGAAACUGGCAGUCUUGAGUACAGUAGAGGUGGGCGGAAUUCGUGGUGUAGCGGUGAAAUGCUUAGAUAUCACGAAGAACUCCGAUUGCGAAGGCAGUUCACUGGACUGCAACUGACACUGAGGCUCGAAAGUGUGGGUAUCAAACAGGAUUAGAUACCCCGGUAGUC